rnacentral:rRNA from 1 species
CACGUAGGGCGCAAGCGUUGUCCGGAAUUAUUGGGCGUAAAGAGCUCGUAGGCGGUCUGUUGCGUCCGCUGUGAAAACUCGGGGCUUAACCCCGAGCCUGCAGUGGAUACGGGCAGACUAGAGGUAGGUAGGGGAGAAUGGAAUUCCCUGUGUAGCGGUGAAAUGCGCAGAUAUCGGGAGGAACACCGGUGGCGAAGGCGGUUCUCUGGGCCGAUACUGACGCUGAGGAGCGAAAGCGUGGGGAGCGAACAGG